GAUGAACGCUAGCUACAGGCUUAACACAUGCAAGUCGAGGGGCAGCAGGAACAAAGCUUGCUUUGUUUGCUGGCGACCGGCGCACGGGUGAGUAACGCGUAUCCGACCUACCCGAUAACACGGGCACAGCCGCUCGAAAGAGUGAUUGAUUCCCGAUAUGUCUUUAGGAGCAGAUUUAAAGAUGAAAGAUUCAUCGGUUAUGGAUGGGGAUGCGUAAGAUUAGGUAGUAGGCGGGGUAACGGCCCACCUAGCCGACGAUCUUUAGGGGUUCUGAGAGGAAGGUCCCCCCACACUGGUACUGAGACACGGACCAGACUCCUACGGGAGGCAGGCAGUGAGGAAUAGUUGGUU
rnacentral:rRNA from 1 species